rnacentral:lncRNA from 1 species
GCCAGAAUACAUUAUUUUAGAUAUUUAUUGCUUGGCUCAUUACAUUAACUUAAUAACCAUUUGAUAUAAUUUAUGACCAGUAAAUUCAGUUAAUAAGUUAGUUACAAGAGUGUAUUAGUUAGAUUUAAUAAUAUGAUAUAUACACAAGGUUUUUCAUUUUUAGAAUGAAUGACAGAUAUCCUUCAUAGCAUCUUUUACGUUUUAAAACAUUCUUUGUGCAUAGUCACUAAUGUUGUUUCAAGAUGUGAAUCAAGCUGUCUGAAGUUCCAGUUUUACUUUUUCUGAUGUUAGAUGAUAAAAUAUAAAAUGGGAAAUUUUCUAAAAUAUUAACAUAUAAGGUGUCCAUAGAUACUUUAGAAUGGACAUUUGAUUAAGGCAAAAUGACAUGGAAUAAUUUUUUAAAAGCAAUGAUGCUUUAGCUUUGAAGAUAAGAUUUUAUAUUAGAAUAUCACUGAUCAAAAGAGCUAGACUGUGGCAUAAUUAUAGCAUAAUUCCUAACCAAGAAAGAUGGACAUAAAAUGAUAAUAUAUUCAAACACCACUUGGCAGAUAAAAACUGACCAACGGAUGAAGUCAGGAAGUCCACACUCUUGGUUAAAUACUUUGAAAGUACAGGGGGAAAAAAAAGAUUAAAACCACUGGCUGUAUAAUAUUAAUCUGCCAUGCCCCAAUUAACACCUUUAGAGAACAUAUCCCAGAAUAAUAAAAAAAAAAAGUUAAAGGAAAUCAGUUGGAUUUAAUUUCUAGAAUCCAAUGUCAUGUAUGUGAUAUACUCAAAGAAGUUUUUUGAGCUCUAGAAUUGGAUAAAGCCGAUGGCAGAGAAAAGAAGACCACUGCAUUAAUUCUACAUGCAGAGUAGUUUUGUGGGUUUUGUCAGCACUUUCACUCUUAAAAGAAUAGGUGAAGCUGGAAACAUCCCAGAUGCCCCUCAAUCAAAGAAUGGAUACAGAAAAUGUGGUUCAUUUCUACAAUGGAAUACUACUCAGCUAUUGAAAACUAACAUUCCUCAACUCCAGGUCAAAAGGAUCCAAUGGCCCCUUGUAACCUCUAUGGGCACCCAGAACUCACUUAGUGCACAGAAAUACAUGUGGAAAGAACACCUGUGUACAUUUUAAUAAAUCUGUGGUCACAUUUUUUUUAAAAAAGGAGAGAGAAAGAAUUCAUAGAUUUUUUUUUUUACGGUGAACUGACCAAGAUAAAAUAUAAGAUCAGGAGACAAAAAUCUGUACUCACCACACCUCCAGUUACAUAUCACUCCACCCCCUGUUUCAUAUAGUAUGAAAUUCUCUUAGUAGAAUAAUACAUCUAUACUUUUCUAUUUCUUUUUCUUUUGAAGGGAAACCUUUUUUGAAGUAAAAAAUUAUAUAUAUGUGUGUGUGUGUCAAGUUCGGCUCAAAAUUAAUACAAAGUGGAGUAUGACCUUAAGCUCUUUAUCCUCCUGCAUCUAUUUCCCAAGGGCUGAGAAUUUCAGCCACUCACCAUCACUACAGUACUGAAAAGUACCAGUUCAGUUUUCAUUUAAGAUUACCUUUCCACUGUUAUCUAGGGCAUUGAUUUCCUGCCUCAUACCUGUGAAUCCUGCAGGAUGCUAGUCACUUGUUCUUCGCAUGGCUGGUUGUGAAUAUCUGUGACUCCAUGUAGGAAUGACUGGAUAAGGAGUUCCAAGUUCAAGCAACCUUGUUUUCUAGUUUUGUGUUUUGUCUUGGCUUUGACUUCCUGUUCUAGAAUGUGGUGAUAUAAUCAGUUUGCCUUUCUCAACUCUUGGAAUGAUAAAAUGGCUUUUAAUCAAUAGGGUAAAAUUUCCUACUAAAAUAUAUGCUUUCUUGUGUAUCUACAGGUUUUCUCUAGGUUGUGUGUCAUACUAUUUACUACUUAUAUUUGAAAGAAAGACUGUAAGAGCAGGAGGUUUUAUUCUAACCACCUUUAAGGACCAUUACAAAAGUUCAUUUAGUACUUUGAUAGGGCUAGUUUUAAUAUGAUUUGAGGUUUUUCUUUAACUACUAUGUUUUGUCUCUCUUAGCCCUUGCCUUCCUUUGAGAAUGGGAUUGCAAUAUUUAAACUAUUUUCCUUACCUGUGUUCUAUUUCUUAACUACCAACUUUACACUAGACAUCAUCUGAAGAAUUAAUACUCAAUCACUGACCACUCUCACCUGGAAAGACUAUUAUCCAAUAUAUUUAUAACACAUGGUGUGAUUCUGUUGCAAUGUUAAGUGAAGAAAUACAACUUGGAGUUUACACACAGCCCAUCGAUUGCUGUUGAGGACUUCCCCAUGUUUUCUAAUGAAAUAACAUACUUAAUAUGUCCUUCUACAACAGAGAACAAAUUUCUCUAUUUUAUAAUAUUAUAAUAUAAUAACAACUCAAUUUAAAGUGUGAAUCUAAGACAAUGUACUCAUUUGUAAAUUAGCAAACUUUUGAACUCUGUCUUUUCUUUUAUGUACAUAAACUAUGUCAAUAAACUAGUGCC